ACUGACACUGACACUGAGGUGCGAAAGCGUGGGUAGCAAACAGGAUUAGAUACCCUGGUAGUCCACGCCGUAAACGAUGUCGACCAGCCGUUGGGUGCCUAGCGCACUUUGUGGCGAAGUUAACGCGAUAAGUCGACCGCCUGGGGAGUACGGCCGCAAGGUUAAAACUCAAAUGAAUUGACGGGGGCCCGCACAAGCGGUGGAGCAUGUGGUUUAAUUCGAUGCAACGCGAAAAACCUUACCUACUCUUGACAUCCUGCGAAUUCGGUGGAGAUACCUUAGUGCCUUCAGGAUCGCAAAGACAGGUGCUGCAUGGCUGUCGUCAUCUCAUGAUGUGACAUGUUGCGUUAAGUGCCGGAACCACCGCCACUCUUGUUCAUAUUUGACAUCGCGGACUGGCUCCCACUGCGAGGAAACUGCCGGUGACACAUCGCAACAAAGUGCGCGACGACCCCAACUCUUGAUGCCACUUACGAGUAGGGCUACACACGUGCUACAAUGGUCGGUACAAAGGGUUGCCAACUCGCGAGAGUGAGCCAAUCCCGAAAAGCCGA
rnacentral:rRNA from 1 species